UAACUUACGCUAUAAAUAUAUAUAGGUGAUUUUCAUUCUUGGUUGGCAUAAGUAAGGAGCACAUGGCCAAGACUCCAAAAAUUGCUCAUAUCCUUCCUAUAUUCAUUAUCUUUAUCUUCAUUACAAGUGCGGCAGCACGACAUACUUACGUGGAAGAAUAUUGCAGUCGUUUGAGCAAACAUUGGCAUAAAAGUUGUCAAUGGGCCUCACACUGUAACAAAAAAUGCAAAGACCUAGAGCAUGCGGUUUCCGGAACGUGCCAAAGGCCUCAUUGGUGGUCAUUUAGUCAAAAAUGUUACUGCCUCUUCAACUGUGGAAUUCGUAUAUAAAAUGGUGUUGUUUUACGUAUGUGCCUUUUCGAAUGCUGCUGCUCAUUUAUCCUCUAAUGUUGAGGAAAUUUUGGGGUUUCUCUUGUAUAAAUAUAUUAUAUACAUUAAAUAAAUGCAUGUCUAGUUGCGGCCCAUUAAUGUGCGGCAUGGUGGGCACUGAAGUUUGUACUUUUAUCAGCCUUCCUAACAUUCAAAGAAGUGGAGGUUAGGAUGGCGUUAACAGUAUUAGAGAUAAUGGAGAAGAUCUACCAAUCUUGAACGAUGUUGAAA